rnacentral:misc_RNA from 1 species
AAGUCGUAACAAGGUUUCCGUAGGUGAACCUGCGGAAGGAUCAUUAACAUAUCCAAACGUUAAACCCCCCCCCGUGAACCUUCAUCCUGCUCGUGAUUCACAGACCUCUGGCUACGUGCGAACAUUGGAACAGUUACAAUCGAGCGGUAGUUCUAUAGGCAAUGUUUCCCCAAGCAGUCAGUGUCGGAAAGUGUCAUUGAUUGUGCAAGGAUAGCGCUUCUACGAUUCCUGUAGACCGUACACUCGGGCAGGAGCUUUGCCAAAGGGUCCCCAUGCCCCCUAAUAACCCCACAGUUUAAUGUGAAGCUCAAUGUAAUACAUUGGGUAAAAAAACCGAACAACUGUUAACAAUGGAUAUCUUGGUUCUC